CGGUAAUACGUAGGGUGCAAGCGUUAAUCGGAAUUACUGGGCGUAAAGCGUGCGCAGGCGGUUUUGUAAGUCUGAUGUGAAAUCCCCGGGCUCAACCUGGGAAGUGCAUUGGAGACUGCAAGGCUAGAAUCUGGCAGAGGGGGGUAGAAUUCCACGUGUAGCAGUGAAAUGCGUAGAGAUGUGGAGGAACACCGAUGGCGAAGGCAGCCCCCUGGGUCAAAAUUGACGCUCAUGCACGAAAGCGUGGGGAGCAAACAGGAUUAGAUACCCUGGUAGUCCACGCCCUAAACGAUGUCUACUAGUUGUCGGGUUUUAAUUAACUUGGUAACGCAGCUAACGCGUGAAGUAGACCGCCUGGGGAGUACGGUCGCAAGAUUAAA
rnacentral:rRNA from 1 species